UAUUCAGGACUGCAAACCGAGCAGCAUCACUGACUUUCAGCUUGUUGUGUUUGUGGAUAUAUGACUGACUUUAAUUAUCCAUAAAAUCAUCACAUUCUCUGUAAGAUUAAGGUCGAAUGUUGAACGGCGAAUAUUUUAAAGUACAGGCUUUAAGUUAGUACAAACAUCACUAAUGUCACAUAACUUUGCCGAAAUGUGGUCAACAGUAAUGUUUUAAUGUUCUUCAUUAUUCAACAUUUGCACAUAAAUAAGUGACAUAAUAUUCAGUACUUACUUUUAAAAGUUUACUCUUCCGCCGUUUUUUUUCGGCAAAAUUAUCCACACCCACCGCCGCGCUAUGAAGUCUGGGAUAUGUUGGGCGAUGAAGGCUUCACAGACCCAUCCUUGAAAUUCAGGGAAAUUAAGAACGCAUUUGAGGCUGCAUUUCGAGCAGCCUUUGAAUUGGGACAGCCCCACUGUCGCUGUGACGUAAUCGGCUUCAGUACAUCCAAGAAAGUCUCCUAAAGAGGAUUCAGCUGCGGGAUCACAGUGUCACCAGUGCGGAGCGUGCUCAGGAAUGGCAGCAGGCAGGUGUGAGCGCAAUCUGCACGCACAGUUAUGAGAAGACUUUUGGAAGAUGGCCUGGUGUCAAGAACGGCAGCAACGAAGCCACUUCUCUUUCUGACGGACGAAAGCUAAACCAGUUCCACAACACUGAAGUUGCAGCAUUUUUACAAACCAGUUCUGGACCAACAUGGAGCGAGAAGUCAGUGCUCUCAGGAGGCCGACAAACCUCACAGAAGAAAGGGAGAGAAAACAUACACCUGUGACGAGUGUGGGAAGGAGUUUAAUGUGAGGUCCAAACUAAAACAUCAUCAGGUCAUCCACACUGGAGAGAGACCGUUCAGCUGUGACUUUUGUGGAAAGUCUUUUUCCUUGAAGAGUUCCCUAAAAAGACACCAACUCAUCCACAGUGGAGUUAAAGCGUACAGCUGUGAUCAGUGUGGCAGAGCUUUUACUCACAGUAGCCACUUACAGAGUCAUCUAGUUACCCACUCUGGAAUUAAGGCAUACAGCUGUGACGAGUGUGGGAAGGAUUUUACUGGGAAGGAUGAACUAAAACAGCAUCAGGUCAUCCACACUGGAGAGAGACCGUUCAGCUGUGACUUGUGUGGAAAGUCUUUUUCCUGGAAGGAUUCCCUAAAACAACACAAACUCAUCCACAGUGGAAUUAAAGCGUACAGCUGUGAUCAGUGUGGCAGAGCUUUUACUCACAGUAGCCACUUACAGAGGCAUCUAGUUACCCACUCUGGAAUUAAGGCAUACAGCUGUGACAUCUGUGGAAAAACUUUCAGCCGGAUAGACAGCCAAAAUAGACACCUACGCAUUCACACCAGACAUGAUGUGUACUGCUGUGAACAGUGUGGCAAAGAGUUUACAACAGACACACAGUUGCAACAACACAUGUUUACCCACACUGAGGGACGACCUUAUAAAUGUGACCUGUGUGAGAAGACUUUUAAAUCUCCACGUCACCUGAGACGACACCAACAGAUCCACACCAGAAAGAGACUCUACAAGUGCAGUUACUGUGAGAAGCAGAGCGACACAGAUGGAUCCAGUUCUCAACCCUGUCAUCACUGUGGUGGUGGGAAAGACUUUCGUUGUGACCUCUGUGGAAAAACUUUCAGUCAGCAAAAGAACCUAAAAAUACAUCAACGUAGACACACUGGAGACAAACUGAAAUCCUGCAAAGAAUGUGGGAGAAGCUUCACCACAUCAAGUAGAUUAAAACGCCAUGAACUGAUUCACAGUGGGGUUAAAAAGCACCUCUGUGAUCAGUGUGGGUCAUCCUUCACCACUGCAAGGGAGCUUAAAACACACAAACGAGUCCACACAGGAGAGAAA